rnacentral:rRNA from 1 species
AUUGAACGCUGGCGGCAUGCCUUACACAUGCAAGUCGAACGGUAACGCGGGGCAACCUGGCGACGAGUGGCGAACGGGUGAGUAAUACAUCGGAACGUGCCCAGUAGUGGGGGAUAGCCCGGCGAAAGCCGGAUUAAUACCGCAUACGACCUGAGGGUGAAAGCGGGGGAUCGCAAGACCUCGCGCUAUUGGAGCGGCCGAUGUCAGAUUAGGUAGUUGGUGGGGUAAAGGCCUACCAAGCCGACGAUCUGUAGCUGGUCUGAGAGGACGACCAGCCACACUGGGACUGAGACACGGCCCAGACUCCUGCGGGAGGCAGCAGUGGGGAAUUUUGGACAAUGGGCGCAAGCCUGAUCCAGCCAUGCCGCGUGCGGGAAGAAGGCCUUCGGGUUGUAAACCGCUUUUGUCAGGGAAGAAACGCUCUGGGUUAAUACCCUGGGGUAAUGACGGUACCUGAGGAAUAAGCACCGGCUAACUACGUGCCAGCCGCCGCCGUAAUAC